rnacentral:rRNA from 1 species
CGUAGGUGGCAAGCGUUGUCCGGAUUUAUGGGUUUAAAGGGUGCGUAGGCGGCCCUGUAAGUCAGUGGUGAAAUAUCUCAGCUUAACUGAGAGGGUGCCAUUGAUACUGCGGGGCUUGAGUACAGAUGAGGUAGGCGGAAUUGACGGUGUAGCGGUGAAAUGCAUAGAUAUCGUCAAGAACACCGAUAGCGAAGGCAGCUUACCAAGCUGUAACUGACGCUGAGGCACGAAAGUGUGGGGGAUCAAACAGGAUUAGAUACCCUGGUAGUCCACACUGUAAACGUUGAUGACUCGAUGUUGGCGAUACACAGCCAGCGUCCAAGAGCAAUCGUUAAGUCAUCCACCUGGGGAGUACGCCGGCAACGGUG